AACGAACGCUGGCGGCAUGCCUAACACAUGCAAGUCGAACGAGACCUUCGGGUCUAGUGGCGCACGGGUGCGUAACGCGUGGGAACCUGCCCUUAGGUUCGGAAUAACUCCCGAAAGGGGUUCUAAUACCGGAAAAUGUCUUCGGACCAAAGAUUUAUCGCCUCUGGAUGGGCCCGCGUUGGAUUAGCUAGUUGGUAGGGUUAAAGCCUACCAAGGCGACGAUGCAUAGCUGGUCUGAGAGGAUGAUCAGCCACACUGGGAAUGAGACACGGCCCAGACUCCUACGGGAGGCAGCAGUGGGGAAUAUUGGAAAAUGGGCGAAAGGCUGAUCCAGCAAUGCCGCGUGAGUGAUGAAGGCCUUAGGGUUGUAAAGCUCUUUUACCCGGGAUGAUAAUGACAGUACCGGGAGAAUAAGCUCCGGCUAACUCCGUG
rnacentral:rRNA from 1 species